rnacentral:rRNA from 1 species
UUUGAGUUUGAUCGUGGCUCAGAUUGAACGCACGCGGCAGGCUUCAACACAUGCAAGUCGAGCGGUAGCACAGGGGAGCUUGCUCCCUGGGUGACGAGCGGCGGACGGGUGAGUAAUGUCUGGGAAACUGCCUGAUGGAGGGGGAUAACUACUGGAAACGGUAGCUAAUACCGCAUAACGUCGCAAGACCAAAGAGGGGGACCUUCGGGCCUCUUGCCAUCAGAUGUGCCCAGAUGGGAUUAGCUAGUAGGUGGGGUAAUGGCUCACCUAGGCGACGAUCCCUAGCUGGUCUGAGAGGAUGACCAGCCACACUGGAACUGAGACACGGUCCAGACUCCUACGGGAGGCAGCAGUGGGGAAUAUUGCACAAUGGGCGCAAGCCUGAUGCAGCCAUGCCGCGUGUGUGAAGAAGGCCUUCGGGUUGUAAAGCACUUUCAGCGAGGAGGAAGGUGGUGAACUUAAUACGUUCAUCAAUUGACGUUACUCGCAGAAGAAGCACCGGCUAACUCCGUGCCAGCCGCCGCCGUAACACAAA